rnacentral:rRNA from 1 species
GAUGAACGCUGGCGGCGUGCCUAAUACAUGCAAGUCGAGCGAACAGACGAGGAGCUUGCUCCUCUGACGUUAGCGGCGGACGGGUGAGUAACACGUGGAUAACCUACCUAUAAGACUGGGAUAACUUCGGGAAACCGGAGCUAAUACCGGAUAAUAUAUUGAACCGCAUGGUUCAAUAGUGAAAGACGGUUUUGCUGUCACUUAUAGAUGGAUCCGCGCCGCAUUAGCUAGUUGGUAAGGUAACGGCUUACCAAGACGACGAUGCGUAGCCGACCUGAGAGGGUGAUCGGCCACACUGGAACUGAGACACGGUCCAGACUCCUACGGGAGGCAGCAGUAGGGAAUCUUCCGCAAUGGGCGAAAGCCUGACGGAGCAACGCCGCGUGAGUGAUGAAGGUCUUCGGAUCGUAAAACUCUGUUAUUAGGGAAGAACAAAUGUGUAAGUAACUAUGCACGUCUUGACGGUACCUAAUCAGAAAGCCACGGCUAACUACGUG